rnacentral:rRNA from 1 species
UAUCUCUGUAGAGUCUGCAUAUCAAUAAGCGGAGGAAAAGAAACUAACUAGGAUUCCCUCAGUAACGGCGAGUGAAGCGGGAAGAGCUCAAAUUUGAAAUCUUCAAGGUUCUACCUUGACGAAUUGUAGUUUAAAGAAGUGUUUUCUGUUGGAGUUUUGGUAAAAGUUCUUUGGAAUAGGACAUCAUAGAGGGUGAGAAUCCCGUAUUUGACCAUUAUUUCCAACUUUGUGAUACACUUUCAAAGAGUCGGAUUGUUUGGGAAUGCAGUCCAAAAUGGGUGGUAAAUUUCAUCUAAAGCUUAAUACUGGCGAGAGACCGAUAGCGAACAAGUACCGUGAGGGAAAGAUGAAAAGAACUUUGAAAAGAGAGUUAAACAGUACGUGAAAUUGUCAAAAGGGAAGCGUUUGAUACCAGUGUUGUUUAGUUGAAAAUCAAUUAAAUAAUUUGGGGAUUUUAGUAGUAUUGACUUCAUCAGCUUUCUGCACUUUCUUUUCUGUAUUAUUUAAUGCACUUUUCAGUUAACAAGUCAACAUCAAUUUCUUUUGUUGUAAAAAGGGUAAUAGGAAGGUGGCUUUCUCUUCGGCGCAAGUGUUUAUAGCCUUUGCACUUCUGCAAUCGGAGAGAUUGAGGUCUGCAGCGUAGAUCCUUCGGGGUUAGAUGCAUUUGUGCUAAGUUAUAGCUUUCAUAGACAACUUGUUGACUAUGAUUUAGUCAUUGUAGCUUACUCGCUUACUGCUAUUUUACCUACGCUUAGGAUGUUGAACGCGCACAGAGUCU